ACAGGCUCAUGCUGUGCAUGGUCAUAGGAAGAUGUCACCUAUAGAUAGCAACCUAACAACACCCAUACGAGUGUAAAGGAGGGUCCAGGUCUUAUAGCCUCAGGGGGUUCAGGAAACAGAGACAACUCCUGUUCAUUCCUGACUGACCUUGGGCAAACCGCAUACACACAGCUCCAUUGGAGGUGUCUGGAUGUCUACCUCACACCGAGGUGAACAAGUUUGUGCCCUACCAGGAAAACGCAGAUGUUUGCUUUCCUGAACAGACUACCCUCCUGGACUAGUUCCAGGGCUGGCUUUGAAGAAAUCUUUCACAGAAAAGCUUUCGCAAAAAAUCAUCGUGACCAGGAUCUGCAUGGAAUGAAUUCCCUCUGUAAGCAUAUGGGCUAUUUCCAGAAGAUCCUGAGCAAUUCACUUGGCCAGUGAGGAAAAACAAAUGUAGUUUCUUCCGUGCAAGAACUUUGAUGAAGAAAAACGUCACCUACUAGUCAGCUUUUCUUUGUAAGCUGUUUAUCCAAAAUCAAUCUCUAUCACAAUUUUCUAGUUAUCAUGUUCUAUUAACUGUGUGUUAGGGUAGGACAAAUUUACAUCUUACAUAUAUCUAAGAGAUAUAUCUGCAUAAUGAACACUUGAUAUUCCUAUGUUGUGGCAAAGAAACUUAACCUUUAAUACGAGCUCUGUCAGACUUUUCUCUAGUGUUUCAUAGUAUGGAUCACCUGGGAGCCCAGACUGAUUUCUAAAAAGCUGCAGUAGCAAAUAUGAAUUCUCUGAAAUGAGUCAGGACCAUACCUUCAGACUAAAUCCAGGGAACUAUGAAAUCCAGUAGCACCUUCAGCACCUUCAGUGCUUACCUGAGAGUACCUUUCAAAGUUUAGUCUUUGCCUGACCAGUCAAUGUGCAAAACCUAGCAAGAGGGAGAGAAAUGCUAGCAAUUCAUGAAGCCUGUCUGUCUCUAUACUUCUUCUCAUCAAAUAUAAGCAGCAGAAUCACCCAUAUUCCUCAGAAGAAAAAAAAAAAUUAAAAUGCUAUCUGAACUUAAGAGGAAAACAUUAAGAUGCCUCCACUGGCAGAAAAGCUGCACUGGGAUCUCAGCAGUCCUCUUCCUAAAAUAGAGAAAGGUCUGUCACCACCCCUUAGAGUAUUCUCAGGCUGGUCAGGCAGUAAACAUACAUAUAGCACAGAAUCAGAGCAUACAUACUUCCUUGUCCAUUUAAUUGUCAGGGCCAACCACACACAUGUAAGGGACAGAAGAUAUUGAGGGAGAGGGAAAAAGGAGCAGGGAACGGAAGAGAAAAGGGACUAUAUCUGUGGUCACGGAUGCUGAGAAGGGCAUAUCAAGCAAAAUGCAGAAAAUUGUGUCAUUUGUCCCAAUUAUGAGACUACUCGGGAUUUAAUGACAACAUUUUUCACGCACUUUUUCUUGUGUUUUUGAAGUCUGACUCCCUUAGUGCUAGAGAUCUAACUACUUAACUACUUUACAUAACUGAUGGAAGGAAAAAACCCACAUAUUAACAUAGUAGAACACUCUUAAUAUUAACCAACAAUAGCUUUUCCAUACAGCAGUUCAAUACACAGCAGUCCAGUUGCAGUUCUAGGGUAUACUUCUCUGUGACUACGUAUAACAAAUGCCUUAGAGAUUCUCAGCUCACCUGUAGAAUAAAAGUCUACAUUACCUGAUAGGCUAAAAUGGACACCAGAAAUUUAACAUAGAUUGUGGCAGAGUAUUGUUUUAUCCUACCCAUUAAAGGAUGAUAUUCCAUAUUUAUAGAAAAAAAUGUUUUACUGUGAGAAGAUGGCAUUUGCAGGGUAUAUAUACCUGAGUUUCCUCGACUUUCAGUACAGAAUAGCCAAAAGCAAGCCACUCCAAACAAGUGCUGAUAAACUAUAAGCAAUAAUGUGUUCCUAGUGUCUACAUGUAUGGUCUAUAGAGAUACAUAUGUCAGUGAAAAUAUGAACUCUGAGUUUAAGAAACAGAAAGUUAAAAGUUUUUCUUCUUUGUCCUGGAAACCAAAUGUUUAGAAUUCUGUGAGUCUAGUAACAAAUGUUUGAAAUAGAAGCAUGUCACAGUUUCAUACAGAAUUUUUUUACAAGACAGUAUCUUAUAUUUAAUAAAGGUUAGAGUAGGUGCUGCAUCCAUAUUAGAACUGGAAAAGUAGUAACUGUAUAUUAAUUUCUGACAAUGUAUUAGGUAACAAUGUUUGUGCAGUAAGAUCUGAGAAUGUGUUAGGUAACAUCUGUGUGGUAACAUCAGUACAGAUGCUUCCACUGAGUUGAGCAGGAUACUUGGAGUGUAAAUUGUCAAGGAAAUCCCAAAAAUCUAGAUGGUCAGAUGUUUGAAUGUUGGUAUAUUGCAAGUGUGUAUGUCCUUUAAAAUAGAAUAUAAUUAUCUGGAAUUAUACUGUUUGACAGGUUGAACACUUUCCUAAAUGCAUGAACUUUGUGUAAAGUAAAAAAAAAAAAAAAAUUAAAAUU